UUGGAUCCAGACUUUGAUUCUGGCUCAGGAUGAACGCUAGCUACAGGCUUAACACAUGCAAGUCGAGGGGAAACGAUAUUGGAAGCUUGCUUCCGAUAGGCGUCGACCGGCGCACGGGUGAGUAACGCGUAUCCAACCUGCCCAUCACUUGGGAAUAACCUUGCGAAAGUAAGACUAAUGCCCAAUGACAUUUAUAGAAGGCAUCUGAAAUGAAUUAAAGAUUUAUCGGUGAUGGAUGGGGAUGCGUCUGAUUAGCUUGUUGGCGGGGUAACGGCCCACCAAGGCGACGAUCAGUAGGGGUUCUGAGAGGAAGGUCCCCCACAUUGGAACUGAGACACGGUCCAAACUCCUACGGGAGGCAGCAGUGAGGAAUAUUGGUCAAUGGGCGAGAGCCUGAACCAGCCAAGUAGCGUGCAGGAUGACGGCCCUAUGGGUUGUAAACUGCUUUUAUAGGGGAAUAAAGUGAGCCACGUGUGGUUUUUUGCAUGUACCCUACGAAUAAGGACCGGCUAAUUCCGUGCCAGCAGCCGCGGUAAUACGGAAGGUCCGGGCGUUAUCCGGAUUUAUUGGGUUUAAAGGGAGCGUAGGCCGGAGAUUAAGCGUGUUGUGAAAUGUAGAUGCUCAACAUCUGAACUGCAGCGCGAACUGGUUUCCUUGAGUACGCAUAAAGUGGGCGGAAUUCGUGGUGUAA
rnacentral:rRNA from 1 species